rnacentral:snRNA from 1 species
UGUGAGGGUGAUCUGGCUGUGACAUCUGUCACCCCAUUGAUCGCCAAGGUUGAUUCAGCUGAUCUGGCUGGCUAGGCGGGUGUCCCCUUCCUCCCUCACUGU